rnacentral:lncRNA from 1 species
GAAAUAGAUUUGACUUUUCCUCUUUUAGUGUGUAUUCCUGUGUCUAUCCUUGUUAUUCUGAUCUCGGCUGCAGAGACUUAAGUGAAAGCUGUAAACUAAUUGGAAAACCUUUUAAUUGGAGUUCAUUAGUGCAUGCUAUUUCAGCAGUUUACUGAUAGGUGUAAACUGGAAUAUAUUUUUUCAGUGGGAGUACCAAGAGCUAUGUAAUUAAGAAUAGCAUGCAGGUGAAUGACCUAGAUAUUUCAUACUAUUCAACUGGGAAUAAGCUUAAAUAUUUUUAAUGUUUCAGUGUAUUAGCAAACAGAGGAAAUAAAUUUGAAAACCUUUCAUUUGAAUCAGAAAACCAUCAAUGCUUGGAGAAUUCCUUCUACAUCAAGAUGUAAAUCCUUCUGCCGCCUUUGGAUGCUUCACUUAAAUGACUCUAAUCUAGUUCUGUCAGUCAAGUAGAUUGUCCACGAUCAUCUCUGGGAGUGCUGCCCUUCCUGCUGAUGGAGGCACGAUUCUUCUGAAGCAAUUCCCCUGAGAAAAAGUCUGGAAAAAGAAUUCUCUGACAAAAAAAAGAGCUGUCCUAUGGUAAAAUGGUAUGUAACUGAUCACGUUUUAAUUUUAAUGAAUGAUAAUGUAAAAUGUUACAUUUAUGAAAGA